AACGCGAAGAACCUUACCAGGGCUUGACAUGGGGAGGCUGUGUCCAGAGAUGGGCAUUUCCCGCAAGGGACCUCCCGCACAGGUGCUGCAUGGCUGUCGUCAGCUCGUGUCGUGAGAUGUUGGGUUAAGUCCCGCAACGAGCGCAACCCUCGCCUUUAGUUGCCAGCAUGUUUGGGUGGGCACUCUAAAGGAACUGCCGGUGACAAGCCGGAGGAAGGUGGGGAUGACGUCAAGUCCUCAUGGCCCUUAUGUCCUGGGCUACACACGUGCUACAAUGGCGGUGACAGUGGGAAGCUAGGUCGCGAGACCAUGCUGAUCUCUAAAAGCCGUCUCAGUUCAGAUUGCACUCUGCAACUCGAGUGCAUGAAGGUGGAAUCGCUAGUAAUCGUGGAUCAGCAUGCCACGGUGAAUACGUUCCCGGGCCUUGUA
rnacentral:rRNA from 1 species